rnacentral:rRNA from 1 species
GGAUUAGUGGCGAACGGGUGAGUAACACGUGGGCAAUCUGCCCUGCACUCUGGGACAAGCCCUGGAAACGGGGUCUAAUACCGGAUACUGAUCCGCUUGGGCAUCCAAGCGGUUCGAAAGCUCCGGCGGUGCAGGAUGAGCCCGCGGCCUAUCAGCUUGUUGGUGAGGUAAUGGCUCACCAAGGCGACGACGGGUAGCCGGCCUGAGAGGGCGACCGGCCACACUGGGACUGAGACACGGCCCAGACUCCUACGGGAGGCAGCAGUGGGGAAUAUUGCACAAUGGGCGAAAGCCUGAUGCAGCGACGCCGCGUGAGGGAUGACGGCCUUCGGGUUGUAAACCUCUUUCAGCAGGGAAGAAGCGAAAGUGACGGUACCUGCAGAAGAAGCGCCGGCUAACUACGUGCCAGCAGCCGCGGUAAUACGUAGGGCGCAAGCGUUGUCCGGAAUUAUUGGGCGUAAAGAGCUCGUAGGCGGCUUGUCACGUCGGUUGUGAAAGCCCGGGGCUUAACCCCGGGUCUGCAGUCGAUACGGGCAGGCUAGAGUUCGGUAGGGGAGAUCGGAAUUCCUGGUGUAGCGGUGAAAUGCGCAGAUAUCAGGAGGAACACCGGUGGCGAAGGCGGAUCUCUGGGCCGAUACUGACGCUGAGGAGCGAAAGCGUGGGGAGCGAACAGGAUUAGAUACCCUGGUAGUCCACGCCGUAAACGGUGGGCACUAGGUGUGGGCAACAUUCCACGUUGUCCGUGCCGCAGCUAACGCAUUAAGUGCCCCGCCUGGGGAGU